rnacentral:misc_RNA from 1 species
UCCGUGUUAACCACGGCAGUCUCUUUAGAGUGCCCAACUGAAUGCUGGCAACUAAAGACAAGGGUUGCGCUCGUUGCGGGACUUAACCCAACAUGUCACCACACGAGCUGACGACAGCCAUGCAGCACCUGUCUUCCUGCUUACUUGCGUAAGAAGCCGUAUCUCUACGGUUGUCAGGAGAUGUCAAACCCAGGUAAGGUUUUUCGCGUUGCUUCGAAUUAAACCACAUGAUCCACCGCUUGUGCGGGCCCCCGUCAAUUCCUUUGAGUUUUAGUCUUGCGACCGUACUUCCCAGGCGGGGUACUUAGUGCGUUAGCUCCGGCUCGGCAGGGGUCAAGACCCGCCAAGCCUAGUACCCAUCGUUUACAGCGUGGACUAC